GUGGCUUUUCGAUUAAAUAAUUUUUUCUGGUAGAAAACGUCGUCCGUGUUUUUAUAAAAUAAUAAAAUGGUGAAAUUUUACGUUUUCUUUCAUUUUUUCCCACUUAAAUGUUUUUAUUUAAAAAAUUGCUUCGAAAAUUAAAAAAUGACUUGUUUAAUGUACAAUCUAGAUAAUUUGAGCUUUAAGAAAAGUUGUUACACAUAAAUAUCGGAGCAAGUUUACUAGGAA